AGGGCGCACGGUGGAUGCCUUGGCACUAGAAGCCGAAGAAGGACGUUACUAACGACGAUAUGCUUUGGGUAGCUGUAAGUAAGCGUUGAUCCAGAGAUUUCCGAAUGGGGGAACCCAACAUGAGUUAUGUCAUGUUAUCGACAUGUGAAUUCAUAGCAUGUCAGAAGGCAGACCCGGAGAACUGAAACAUCUUAGUACCCGGAGGAAGAGAAAGAAAAAUCGAUUCCCUGAGUAGCGGCGAGCGAAACGGGAAGAGCCCAAACCAACAAGCUUGCUUGUUGGGGUUGUAGGACACUCUAUACGGAGUUACAAAAGAACAUGUUAGACGAAUCAUCUGGAAAGAUGAAUCAAAGAAGGUAAUAAUCCUGUAGUCGAAAACAUAUUCUCUCUUGAGUGGAUCCUGAGUACGACGGAGCACGUGAAAUUCCGUCGGAAUCUAGGAGGACCAUCUCCUAAGGCUAAAUACUCUCUAGUGACCGAUAGUGAACCAGUACCGUGAGGGAAAGGUGAAAAGUACCCCGGAAGGGGAGUGAAAGAGAACUUGAAACCGUGUGCUUACAAGUAGUCAGAGCCCGUUUAUGGGUGAUGGCGUGCCUUUUGUAGAAUGAACCGGCGAGUUACGAUCUGAUGCAAGGUUAAGCAGCGAAUGUGGAGCCGUAGCGAAAGCGAGUCUGAAUAGGGCGUUGAGUAUUUGGUCGUAGACCCGAAACCAGGUGAUCUACCCUUGGUCAGGUUGAAGUUCAGGUAACACUGAAUGGAGGACCGAACCGACUUACGUUGAAAAGUGAGCGGAUGAACUGAGGGUAGCGGAGAAAUUCCAAUCGAACUUGGAGAUAGCUGGUUCUCUCCGAAAUAGCUUUAGGGCUAGCCUCAAGUGAUGAUUAUUGGAGGUAGAGCACUGUUUGGACGAGGGGCCCCUCUCGGGUUACCGAAUUCAGACAAACUCCGAAUGCCAAUCAAUUUAACUUGGGAGUCAGAACAUGGGUGAUAAGGUCCGUGUUCGAAAGGGAAACAGCCCAGACCACCAGCUAAGGUCCCAAAAUAUAUGUUAAGUGGAAAAGGAUGUGGCGUUGCCCAGACAACUAGGAUGUUGGCUUAGAAGCAGCCAUCAUUUAAAGAGUGCGUAAUAGCUCACUAGUCGAGUGACACUGCGCCGAAAAUGUACCGGGGCUAAACAUAUUACCGAAGCUGUGGAUUGUCCUUCGGACAAUGGUAGGAGAGCGUUCUAAGGGCGUUGAAGCAUGAUCGCAAGGACAUGUGGAGCGCUUAGAAGUGAGAAUGCCGGUGUGAGUAGCGAAAGACGGGUGAGAAUCCCGUCCACCGAUUGACUAAGGUUUACAGAGGAAGGCUCGUCCGCUCUGGGUUAGUCGGGUCCUAAGCUGAGGCCGACAGGCGUAGGCGAUGGAUAACAGGUUGAUAUUCCUGUACCACCUAGUAUCGUUUUAAUCGAUGGGGGGACGCAGUAGGAUAGGCGAAGCGUGCUGUUGGAGUGCACGUCCAAGCAGUAAGGCUGAGUGUUAGGCAAAUCCGGCACUCGUUAGGCUGAGCUGUGAUGGGGAGAGGAAAUUGUUUCCUCGAGUCGUUGAUUUCACACUGCCGAGAAAAGCCUCUAGAUAGAUAACAGGUGCCCGUACCGCAAACCGACACAGGUAGUCAAGAUGAGAAUUCUAAGGUGAGCGAGCGAACUCUCGUUAAGGAACUCGGCAAAAUGACCCCGUAACUUCGGGAGAAGGGGUGCUCUUUAGGGUUCACGCCCAGAAGAGCCGCAGUGAAUAGGCCCAAGCGACUGUUUAUCAAAAACACAGGUCUCUGCUAAACCGUAAGGUGAUGUAUAGGGGCUGACGCCUGCCCGGUGCUGGAAGGUUAAGAGGAGUGGUUAGCUUCUGCGAAGCCACGAAUCGAAGCCCCAGUAAACGGCGGCCGUAACUAUAACGGUCCUAAGGUAGCGAAAUUCCUUGUCGGGUAAGUUCCGACCCGCACGAAAGGCGUAACGAUUUGGGCACUGUCUCAACGAGAGACUCGGUGAAAUCAUAGUACCUGUGAAGAUGCAGGUUACCCGCGACAGGACGGAAAGACCCCGUGGAGCUUUACUGUAGCCUGAUAUUGAAAUUCGGCACAGCUUGUACAGGAUAGGUAGGAGCCAUUGAAACGUGAGCGCUAGCUUACGUGGAGGCGUUGGUGGGAUACUACCCUAGCUGUGUUGGCUUUCUAACCCGCACCACUUAUCGUGGUGGGAGACAGUGUCAGGCGGGCAGUUUGACUGGGGCGGUCGCCUCCUAAAAGGUAACGGAGGCGCUCAAAGGUUCCCUCAGAAUGGUUGGAAAUCAUUCACAGAGUGUAAAGGCAUAAGGGAGCUUGACUGCGAGACCUACAAGUCGAGCAGGGUCGAAAGACGGACUUAGUGAUCCGGUGGUUCCGCAUGGAAGGGCCAUCGCUCAACGGAUAAAAGCUACCCCGGGGAUAACAGGCUUAUCUCCCCCAAGAGUUCACAUCGACGGGGAGGUUUGGCACCUCGAUGUCGGCUCAUCGCAUCCUGGGGCUGUAGUCGGUCCCAAGGGUUGGGCUGUUCGCCCAUUAAAGCGGUACGCGAGCUGGGUUCAGAACGUCGUGAGACAGUUCGGUCCCUAUCCGUCGUGGGCGUAGGAAAUUUGAGAGGAGCUGUCCUUAGUACGAGAGGACCGGGAUGGACAUACCUCUGGUGUACCAGUUGUCGUGCCAACGGCAUAGCUGGGUAGCUAUGUAUGGACGGGAUAAGUGCUGAAAGCAUCUAAGCAUGAAGCCCCCCUCAAGAUGAGAUUUCCCAACUUCGGUUAUAAGAUCCCUCGAAGAUGACGAGGUUAAUAGGUUCGAGGUGGAAGCGUGGUGACACGUGGAGCUGACGAAUACUAAUCGAUCGAAGACUUAAUC
rnacentral:rRNA from 1 species